UUAAGCGACUAAGCGUACACGGUGGAUGCCCUGGCAGUCAGAGGCGAUGAAGGACGUGCUAAUCUGCGAUAAGCGUCGGUAAGGUGAUAUGAACCGUUAUAACCGGCGAUUUCCGAAUGGGGAAACCCAGUGUGUUUCGACACACUAUCAUUAACUGAAUCCAUAGGUUAAUGAGGCGAACCGGGGGAACUGAAACAUCUAAGUACCCCGAGGAAAAGAAAUCAACCGAGAUUCCCCCAGUAGCGGCGAGCGAACGGGGAGCAGCCCAGAGCCUGAAUCAGUGUGUGUGUUAGUGGAAGCGUCUGGAAAGGCGCGCGAUACAGGGUGACAGCCCCGUACACAAAAAUGCACAUAUUGUGAGCUCGAUGAGUAGGGCGGGACACGUGGUAUCCUGUCUGAAUAUGGGGGGACCAUCCUCCAAGGCUAAAUACUCCUGACUGACCGAUAGUGAACCAGUACCGUGAGGGAAAGGCGAAAAGAACCCCGGCGAGGGGAGUGAAAAAGAACCUGAAACCGUGUACGUACAAGCAGUGGGAGCACGCUUAGGCGUGUGACUGCGUACCUUUUGUAUAAUGGGUCAGCGACUUAUAUUCUGUAGCAAGGUUAACCGAAUAGGGGAGCCGAAGGGAAACCGAGUCUUAACUGGGCGUUAAGUUGCAGGGUAUAGACCCGAAACCCGGUGAUCUAGCCAUGGGCAGGUUGAAGGUUGGGUAACACUAACUGGAGGACCGAACCGACUAAUGUUGAAAAAUUAGCGGAUGACUUGUGGCUGGGGGUGAAAGGCCAAUCAAACCGGGAGAUAGCUGGUUCUCCCCGAAAGCUAUUUAGGUAGCGCCUCGUGAAUUCAUCUCCGGGGGUAGAGCACUGUUUCGGCAAGGGGGUCAUCCCGACUUACCAACCCGAUGCAAACUGCGAAUACCGGAGAAUGUUAUCACGGGAGACACACGGCGGGUGCUAACGUCCGUCGUGAAGAGGGAAACAACCCAGACCGCCAGCUAAGGUCCCAAAGUCAUGGUUAAGUGGGAAACGAUGUGGGAAGGCCCAGACAGCCAGGAUGUUGGCUUAGAAGCAGCCAUCAUUUAAAGAAAGCGUAAUAGCUCACUGGUCGAGUCGGCCUGCGCGGAAGAUGUAACGGGGCUAAACCAUGCACCGAAGCUGCGGCAGCGACGCUGAUGCGUUGUUGGGUAGGGGAGCGUUCUGUAAGCCUGUGAAGGUGUGCUGUGAGGCAUGCUGGAGGUAUCAGAAGUGCGAAUGCUGACAUAAGUAACGAUAAAGCGGGUGAAAAGCCCGCUCGCCGGAAGACCAAGGGUUCCUGUCCAACGUUAAUCGGGGCAGGGUGAGUCGACCCCUAAGGCGAGGCCGAAAGGCGUAGUCGAUGGGAAACAGGUUAAUAUUCCUGUACUUGGUGUUACUGCGAAGGGGGGACGGAGAAGGCUAUGUUGGCCGGGCGACGGUUGUCCCGGUUUAAGCGUGUAGGCUGGUUUUCCAGGCAAAUCCGGAAAAUCAAGGCUGAGGCGUGAUGACGAGGCACUACGGUGCUGAAGCAACAAAUGCCCUGCUUCCAGGAAAAGCCUCUAAGCAUCAGGUAACAUCAAAUCGUACCCCAAACCGACACAGGUGGUCAGGUAGAGAAUACCAAGGCGCUUGAGAGAACUCGGGUGAAGGAACUAGGCAAAAUGGUGCCGUAACUUCGGGAGAAGGCACGCUGAUAUGUAGGUGAAGCGACUUGCUCGUGGAGCUGAAAUCAGUCGAAGAUACCAGCUGGCUGCAACUGUUUAUUAAAAACACAGCACUGUGCAAACACGAAAGUGGACGUAUACGGUGUGACGCCUGCCCGGUGCCGGAAGGUUAAUUGAUGGGGUCAGCGCAAGCGAAGCUCUUGAUCGAAGCCCCGGUAAACGGCGGCCGUAACUAUAACGGUCCUAAGGUAGCGAAAUUCCUUGUCGGGUAAGUUCCGACCUGCACGAAUGGCGUAAUGAUGGCCAGGCUGUCUCCACCCGAGACUCAGUGAAAUUGAACUCGCUGUGAAGAUGCAGUGUACCCGCGGCAAGACGGAAAGACCCCGUGAACCUUUACUAUAGCUUGACACUGAACAUUGAGCCUUGAUGUGUAGGAUAGGUGGGAGGCUUGGAAGUGUGGACGCCAGUCUGCAUGGAGCCGACCUUGAAAUACCACCCUUUAAUGUUUGAUGUUCUAACGUGGACCCGUAAUCCGGGUUGCGGACAGUGUCUGGUGGGUAGUUUGACUGGGGCGGUCUCCUCCUAAAGAGUAACGGAGGAGCACGAAGGUUGGCUAAUCCUGGUCGGACAUCAGGAGGUUAGUGCAAUGGCAUAAGCCAGCUUGACUGCGAGCGUGACGGCGCGAGCAGGUGCGAAAGCAGGUCAUAGUGAUCCGGUGGUUCUGAAUGGAAGGGCCAUCGCUCAACGGAUAAAAGGUACUCCGGGGAUAACAGGCUGAUACCGCCCAAGAGUUCAUAUCGACGGCGGUGUUUGGCACCUCGAUGUCGGCUCAUCACAUCCUGGGGCUGAAGUAGGUCCCAAGGGUAUGGCUGUUCGCCAUUUAAAGUGGUACGCGAGCUGGGUUUAGAACGUCGUGAGACAGUUCGGUCCCUAUCUGCCGUGGGCGCUGGAGAACUGAGGGGGGCUGCUCCUAGUACGAGAGGACCGGAGUGGACGCAUCACUGGUGUUCGGGUUGUCAUGCCAAUGGCACUGCCCGGUAGCUAAAUGCGGAAGAGAUAAGUGCUGAAAGCAUCUAAGCACGAAACUUGCCCCGAGAUGAGUUCUCCCUGACCCUUUAAGGGUCCUGAAGGAACGUUGAAGACGACGACGUUGAUAGGCCGGGUGUGUAAGCGCAGCGAUGCGUUGAGCUAACCGGUACUAAUGAACCGUGAGGCUUAACCUU
rnacentral:rRNA from 1 species